rnacentral:rRNA from 1 species
CUGCGAAAGGCUCAAUAGAUCAGUGAGAAUUGGAUUGAGGAUGGAAACUAGAUGGAUAACCGUGGUAAUUCUAGAGCUAAUACAUGGGGAAGGGGCGACUCGCUGGCAUUGCUUGCAGUGCGGGGGGAAGCCCGGCAUUUAUUAGAUAACACCGGAGCACGCGCGAGCGUGCGGGAGGAUUCAUGAUAAUUGGCGGAUCGUAUGGCGUGAGCUGACGACGGAUCAAACAAAUGACUGCCCUAUCAGCUGUGGAUGGUAGGAUAGAGGCCUACCAUGGCGAUGACGGGUAACGGAGAAUUGGGGUUCGAUUCCGGAGAGGGAGCCUGAGAAAUGGCUGCCACAUCCAAGGAAGGCAGCAGGCGCGCAAAUUACCCAAUCCCGAGUCGGGGAGGUAGUGACAGAAAAUAACAAUGCUGGGCCUUGUGGUUUGGCAAUUGGAAUGGACUGAGAGUAAAGAGCUCGGUGAGAAACGAUU